UUCCGUUUGCUAUUAUAUAUUCAAUCGCACACGGUUGUGAGAAAGGUUCAUUAAUAAGAUCUCAUUGCUUUAAUGCCACUAUGUGUUUAUGAAUUAUCUAGCUACAACAAGACGGGUAGUUACUUUUACAUGCUAAUUGAAAUAGGCGGAAUUUAUUUACAAUGUAUUUGCAUUAGUCAUUAUUCUCAUAAAGCAUUAACUUCCAAAAUACCUUUUAAACAUUUAUUAUAAAAUGUUCUCAAAAUAAAUGCUUGCUUUUAUAAUAUGGUAUAAUAUCAUGCUUGUAUAACACUCCACGCAUUCCUUCAAACUAUGUAAGAGGCUUUUAAAAUAAUUGGAUAUACUUCUCCUUUAUAACUAAUUCCACAUAAAAAGUUUUUAUUAGUAUUAAUGCAUUAUGUUAUUCUGAGAGGUUCCAUUAAAAUAUGGAACAUACAAUACACAAUCCUCACAUACUCCACCUGCAUUCUCUGCUUUGUGUUUCUCCAGCAACUCCGACUGGUUUCUCUACAAAGAUUGGUAUCAAAAUGAUUCCCAGAGGCUCAUUCCAACAUGUCAGUAUGAUUUAAGAAUAGAUGAAAAUCCAGGAAAUCUGCACUGGUGUAUUGUCGAGAACUGGUAAUCACAUCAAUUUGUGUAAGUGAUGAGUUUUCAAGCCUUGGAGAAAGGAUUGCAGACGAAAGAUAAUAAAAGGCGCAGCGCAUGCAAGACAAUGAAGGCAAGCCGGAGACGAAACUGUCAUUACAAAUAACAAUCUUUCAUCUCAGGAGAAAUAGAAAAAGAAAUCCGUAAGAGCAGGCCGUCUGCUGCAAUCGAAUGUUUGAUGAGAUGUGCGGUGGGAUUGUGAGACACUUCUGUGGCAGGGCUUCCACUUACAACACAAAAUCAAAAUCUCCAAAAGCACUUUCAUGCAAGGGCUCUCCAGCUGCGUAACAGUCCCACAGUGCCGGGCCACACCAUCUGAAAUUGAAAGAAAGAAUAUUGAAAAGAUUAUGCAUUUAAAGCUCAGCGGGAAAGGAAGCGCUGUAAUAAAAUGGAAUAACUGUGGUGAUCUAAUCAAAGGCCAGAUGGCAGGAGAUGAUGGCGGGUUGCCUGCCAGUGGUGUGGGAAAGCAUCCGAAGUCAACGUGCUCGCCUUGUGGUGUCACACCGACGCAAGUAUGACAUCAGCAACCAACGCUGUCCUGCUGUGCCAGUCGAUGAUGUCACAAGUGCACACAAUUUUACUGUCAAAUUGAAAUACACACACUUAUGUGUGCUCAUACAUUGGAGUUUCAAGGGUUUAAAAUGAUUCCCUUCAUGCUCAUUCAUGUAGAAUUCCAUUUAACCUAUUCGGAGAAAAGGUUGGAAAUAGCUGAGGCGCACGCACAAUAAUGACAUAGUGUUUAUGUAAGACACAAAAAAGCUAACAGUUGACCCUGUCUGAUAGCUAGGCUGUAUUCUUAAAUCAUUAAAUCGGAGUAAUUUGAAGGCUUAUUUUAAUAUGAAUUAUCUCCAGAUAUCUAAGAUUAGUGCGACUUGUUCAUUUGGUUAUUGUUUCUGGCAAACCUGUUGUUAUCACGCACCUUUAUAGUAAAUUUGCUCCAAUAUGUAUUCCAUAAAAUCUUGAAGGGAGUUUUUUUCCAGCUAUCAUAUCAGAAACCUUAUCUGUCAUUUCUGGAAUGGGCAAUUAUAAAGAAAUCUUUUCUCACAAUGCACUCACAGCGGGUGCCCGGGCUAAAGUCACCCCGAGGGUUUUAUCUCCCUUUGAAAUCACGCCGCUUUUUCAUUGGACCUGCUCAGAUGUGUCUCAAUAGGCUCUGCCUGAAGAAAGUUUGUUUUAUAAAAGAAGGAAACUGUGGGUCUGAAUGUCAAAAUUGUAGUGUUUUAGAGAAUUUAGAGAACAUGUUGUUAAAACCUGAAGAGAAUAAACAAGAAAUGCACAGCAAGAAAUGAUAUAAUACGUGAUGUGCAAUGUCAACGUCUGAUAAAGAACAUUUUUGCCGUGCACCACCAACAAUUCUGCUAUUCUUAUUUGGUCUGAAAACGCAGUCAAUAGAGAUGCAGAAGAAAAGUCUGUUCUCCUUCUGGAUACUCCAACUGUCACGUCUAAAGCUGUAAGUAAGGUUGCAAAGAUCCUUUGCUUGGAAACCAAAAAUUUGUGAAGAGGUCAAAUAAUCGUCCCCGAAUGGAUCAAGUCCAUGAGGUUUUACAGCCACACCGAGAUCUAUAUGACCACCCCAACAUUCACCGUAAAAGCCUCAAAUAGGCUUUCAAGACAGAAAGAGUGAAAUGAGGUUUUGUGAGUGGAUCUUUGACAAACACAACUGGGG